UUUAUUUUUGAGUUUUUAUACUGAAUGAAAGUGUUAUAUGCCUAUUAUGGUCUAAUAUGGUUUAUAUUAGACCUCCGGGUUUAAAGGCUACUUUUAGAAAUUGCAUGUGAUGAAUGUACGUAUAAAAAGUACAGUAACAAAAGUUUGUUGCCUGUUUCCUCAAAAUUAACAAAUUGUAUCAUAUCCCCUUCAUUCACUUAUGUCUUCAAUUAUAAUGAGGUUUGUUAAACGACCUCGGAAUGGACUCCACGGUGUUUCCCGAGCGCUCAGGCGUGACAAGCCUUCUAGGUUUACGGAGAGAACUCGUUGGGGGGCAGCGCCCUGGCUGUCCAGGUGCCGUUGACAAUGCCAGUAAAGAGCCACGUCAAAACAUGAAUUGUAUACAACGGCUUUCCCAUCCUUUAACCCGGAAUUCAGACCUCCACGAAGUCUAUUCCGGACUUGAAUACGUUUUUUUUAUUGCCUGAUGGUGAGUGGAUACCGUCGCCAGUGGACUUCAGCAAUGCCAGAGGCAGAGUCAAGCUGCUACCUACAGUACAUACUAAUAAAAUCACAUUCCCAUCACCAGAUUGAGGCGAGCGCCCCGCCGCUUCGACUAUGUCAGUUAAAUCUUAAUUUAUAUCCUCACACGUCCUUAUCGUUCCUUAUCAUCUCAGUCCUUAAGUCCGUAACAUCCUCUUGUUUAUUACUUCCUACUUUUAUCGAUUUUAAAUCGGAGUUUUCUGUGAUAGUUUAAAUGCGCCUUCGUGCGUCAUGUCUCAAGGUGGGUGGUGCACGGAAGUGUGCCCAACAGGGCGCAACUCCACCUGAUGCUGUCCCUAAGCCGGCUACUUCUCUAUCCACUCUUGUUCCCGUGCGCUACAUCCUAUUUCUCUUCAAGCGAGGUUUGAAAAGAGUCCUGGGUAGCCAGACCGGUCACCGUCCUCGCCGAACCCGUCGCUUGCGACGCAGGGCUCGACAAGAAAAUUAACCCACAGACACAGCCCACUGAGUUUCUCGCCGGAUCUUCUCAGUGGGUCGCGUUUCCGAUCCGGUGGUAGAUUCUGCGAAGCACUGCUCUUGCUAGGGCCAGUGUUAGCAACGACGUCAGGUUUGAGCCUCGUGAGCUCAUCUACUAGUUAAGGUUACGCUAAAAUGGCCUCUCAAGACCAUCAGCUUAGGUGGGUAAAAACAAAAGGCAUCCAGCGGAAUGGCUAUUGGUGAUAACCCACACCUGAUGCUAAAAGGGCAUCUUUUAUUGGUGGUAGGAGAUCUUCUCGUGAGUCCGCACGGGUAGGUAUCACCACCCUGCCUGUAUCCGCCGGGAAGCAGUAAUGCAUUUCGGUUUGAAGGUUGAGCAGCAGUUGUAACUAUACCGAGACCUUGGAUCUCAUAUCUCAAGGUGGUUGGCGCCAUUUACGUUGUAGAUGUCUAUGGGCGCCGAUAACCACUUAACUCGCUUAGCUCGUCCACCCAUCUAAGCAAUAAAUAAAAAUAAUCUAUCACAAUGUAAACAACGCCACUCAUCUUAAAACACGAAAUCGAAUCUCAAUAAAAUUGUGGUAGGUAUAACACGUAGAAGGCAUGGCAGCAUCGCGGCAGAUGAAGCCAUUAGCGAAAAAGACCAAGAAUAAUAAUAAUUAUGGAAACAAUAAUUUGACAUUUUUAGUAACAAUCCUAACAGAGCAUUGACCAUAAACCACAUGUUGGAAGUUUACGCGCCAAUUUUAUCAAAAUUAAUUUCAUGGCAAUAUCUUUCUUAUUUGUAUUGGAGUAAGAAUCAUUAUCCAGCGAACCAUACAUAAUUUUUUCUGUUCGCGUAUCGUGAGAAUUUUAUAACAUUUAAAAGAUAAUAUGCUUUGUUAGUUCAAAAAUAAAGGCGAAGAUCGUUUAAGUAAUGUAAAAAUACCUGUUCUUUUGACCGAAAUUGACCUCUUCAAAACGCGGGAAGAGCGCUGUCGAGUAUAUGAUAUGCUAUUUUGACUCUUAACACAGGUGGCUAAGAUAAUUUUUCUUUUGUAUUAUUUCGCUUGUGAUUUUCUUCAUUCAAUAAGUUUGGCGGGCCUAUUUGCAAGUAGGUAGUCAGUUAAGGUUAGGUUACUGCUCAUAGUCUAAAGUCGAAUAAACAAAGAAUCGAAUAAUUAAUAUCAAACAAUUAUUGACUUUUACUCACUAAAAGAGCCAUUUUGUGCAACACGAAAAAUAUAGGAGAUCCUAUCAUCAUCAUCAGCCUGCGGCAGUCCACUGCUGGACAUGGGCCUCCCCCAAAGCUCACCACUGAACCCGAUCUUCGGUUCUACGCAUCCAGUUACUGCCAGCUGCUCGCUCCAUCUAGCAGGAGGGCGUCCUACACUACGUUUGCUGUUUCGCAGUCUCCACUCCAGAACACGUCUACCCCAACGGUUAUCGGUUCUGCGACAUAAAAUAUGUGACCAGCCCAUUGCCACUUCAGCUUACUAACUCUGGAGGAGUAGGAGAUCCUAUAUUCAUUUUUAUAUAAAUAAUAAUGGAACGUUUGUCUUUUAUGCAUUCUUAAGCCAUGCUUUUGAUUGUAAUGAUAUUUAGUGUCGUUGAAGUUGGCGCUCCGCGAAGGCUUCUCUGGUCGUACCAUCGAGGAAUUUCAAGAAAUCCGUGUAAAAUCAGCUUUUUACACAUGCCCGUGGCUGGUUUUCACCACCUUUAAAUAUAAAUAGCACAUAUACCUACCUAUUACUGGUUGGUCUAUGCUUUUGUCUUUUUUAACUAUUAAAUUAUCAUUCAUUGUUCA